AAAUAGCAAAAAGACAAAAAAAAAAAAAAAAAGACACUUGUGGCUUCUUGAAGAGCGAGAAAAGAGAACCGGUGGACAGGAACUGACCAAAGGAGUUCAAAAUCGGUGAAAUGAUGGUGAGAGAGUCCUUGAGAUCGGAGGGGAGGGGAUGUGGGACAGAAAUAGAGAUUUCUCAUUUCCUUAGAAUUCAGUUUGUCCCAUUCACAGCUGUCAUAGACGUAGACACACACCUUUCCCAAUCCCAGUUUCUAGUCUAAAGAGCCCAACUUCCUAACAGGCAACGAAGCCCUGAUCCGCAGCUCAGCUGUGUCACCUAGAGCAGGUCCCUUAGGCUCUGUAAGCCUCAGUUUUCUCAUUAGUAAAAUGGGAUAAAUAAUAGUACCUACCACAUAUUGUUGCUACAAGAUAACACACACAAAGAGCUUAGUUCACUGCCCAGCUACUAGUCUGGGGGUUGUCUCUCUGGCAGAGUGGAGUCUGGGCUGUAUGGUCUGUGAUGUCACAAUGCCUCACUAGACUCCAGCUUCUCCACGAGGGAGUUGCAGAUCCUUAGGAGCUAAGGACUGGAACGGACAUGAGAGACCUCUACCAACUGAGGGUUGCCAAGCGUACUCCUUUGCCAAGAUCCUGGUGACUAGGCUUUCACUGUGCAAUUGUGUCUUAGAAAUUGUUUUACUUGGUAUCAUGAUCGUUCUCAGCUGGAUGCUCUUUGUUGGAUUUGCCUGUUACAUGGGCACGUUUCCAGAGUUCAUGGUAAGUGAUGACCCUGCCUCUUAAUCCCUGGUAGUCAGUUCUGGCUCUGACUACUCUCCCAGCUGGGGUAUCUGACCCAACAGGAAAGAUAAUUAAGAUCUCACUACUACUUAGAGAUCAGGAGGUGGUGGGAACCAAGUUUAGUUUCCCAGGCUUCUUCUCAUCCCAUUAGGAUGUCUUUAAGGCUUUUCCCCUCCACUUGGGUACAAAACAUCACUUAUUUCAAAGCACUAUGGAAUUUAUACAGGGUCUGCUGGAGAUGGUGCCCGACUUCCAGAUUUCAGGCUAAGUGGAUCAGUGGUUGCUGAGAGGAAAGGGAAUGUGGACACUGGUGGGAGCUUCGGCAGCGCUUCCAGUCACAUACAGAGGCAUUUACCUCCUGGGCUAACCCAUCAGGCCAGCUCUGCCUUUAAAUUUCUUUCUGUCUCAGCCUCCAACUCUGAAGUGGAAAGAGAGGUGGGCUGUUCAGGAAAGCAAAGCGCACCCGAGGAGCCAGACUUUGGAUGAAGAUCUGCAACUGGACAAUGUGGAAGGGAUAUAAGUAUCCCCCCGGAGGGACCCCGGUGGAAGUAAGCAAAGAUGAUCCUGGUGAAGUAAUGCAGCUCUGAAGCUUUCCUGACCAGCUAUACGGUUCCUGCUGUUGCUUUCACAUAAAGUAAUUGCACAUUAUUUUGUCACAUUUAAUGUAAGAAGUUGUCACGCUUUUAAAGAUGAAUGAAGAAUUGGUAUUCUGUUAGCUUAAAACAGGGAGCUGGAGGGUGGGGAGGGAGUUGGGUGGAUGGGAGUGAUUGGGUCCCCUCUGUUUCAUAGUCUCUAAGACUGACAUUAAGACUAAGAUACCUAGUUCAGUUUGUUCCCUAUUCUGUGCCCUUGUGGAUAGAAAUUCACUGUUUCUAUAUAAUGCUUUCUCCUGGGUCCUGGGUCCAGGGUCCAGGGCUGAAAAAAAUGUUACAGAAAGGGUUAGAGAUCACAGCAACUUUAAGCCUAUUCUUUGGGGGGUUUUAUUUCUCUGUGGCCUUUUCACAGCCAUCAUUAAGAACCCAAAACUUGCACUAUGUGGGGAAAGACAUUUUAAUAUUUGGUGCUAGAGGAGUUCCCAAAAAGGUUCAGUGGUU